UAUAUUUUAGUAUAGGAUGUACAAAGGUUUUUGAUACCUUAGGGGGCAGGUACAUCCUGUCAAAUAUAA
rnacentral:tRNA from 1 species